CGCAAUCUGAACUCCAAUAAACACUGGAGGAACAGUAGGACGUAGUUGCAAACUUCUGAACUGUGAGCCAAUUUGAUGAGCCGGCAGUUCUAGAAAUGCCAGAACCCUGGAGUGGGCACUGCUGGGGCACAAGAAGGCUAACGAAGAUCAAGAAUGAAUCCUGUUCUCAGGUUAUGUUUUCAGGAAUGGCAUUGGUAAUCGUGAACUACCACGACUAUUUUUGGUAAGGUAAUGCAGUGGUCUGCAAUCGCCUUAA